UUAGGGCUUUGCAUCGUGGGGCUGACCUCGAAGAUCGAUGAUCUGAGCUCCAUCGCUGGAUGAUGUCGAGCAUUGGUACUUGAAGAUCCUGCUUGGACAUGCAGUUCCUCCAUUGAAGGGCUGUUGUUCGAGCAAAUCUUGUUCAACAUUGGCCUUAGCCAGAUCGACCUACGAGGUGUAUGCCAUAGCCUUCCCAUUUUUUUCGAUCUUUCUUUUUGGUAUUCAUUUUUUGUCUUGACUUUUUUACCUUGACUUUUGCAAAGAUGAGGACGGAGGAGUUGGAAAGGCUUCAUCGGGUGGUGCAAAGAAGAGAAAAGCUUCAACCACCAUGGAGGAUCCAUCCAAGUGCUCUCGCACUGAGGCUGCUUCGACUGAUCAGACCGCCCAG
rnacentral:lncRNA from 1 species